AUGUAUCCCCUCUCAUUCUCUAUCUACCCCCCUUCUGUAUCUCCCUCUCUUCUUCCCUUCCUCUCACUAUUCCUCUCUCUACUUGGCCUCAUCUCAGAUUGCAAGCUGAAACUGGCCUGCAUGAAGCUAAAAUCUAUAGUAAUCGUAGAUCAACCAUACGACGGUGAAUCCGUUCCCGGGUCAUAUACACGCUGCUCGUCACACUAUGGUAGUUUUCCAUGCCCCAAGUCAUUACCUUAAUUGCAAGAAGGGGGAUGUUGAACACUGGGCUAGUCACUAGAGUGAAGUCGUAACAAGGUAGCUAUACUAGAAGGUGUAGUUGGAUCACCUCCUUU
rnacentral:ncRNA from 1 species